rnacentral:lncRNA from 1 species
GGGAGACCGCGUUUAGAGGAUCAGUGGCGGCGGCAGCCGUGGCCGGGCACCGUGCGGAUGGCAGGCAGCGAGGUGCCCGGGUCCCCUCCUGCUCCGGUAAGGCGUCGGUUACCGUGGGAGAGACUGAGAAAGCGCGGCAGUAGGCACAGGCGGAGAGCAGAGUUCUGCUGGACGGUUGGAGUAACCCAAGACUCAGCGUCGUUGAAGGUUGGGGUGCAGUUGGGUUCGGGAGUCUCGGCGGCCCGGGUGCGCUGUUUGGCUUUGCAAUUCUGCGGGUGCUGACUUUCCCCCACUCCCGUCUCUAGCCUGGAAGUUUGCUUUGCCUGGAAGCGCGUGUCUUGGGGGAGUGGUGGGGGUAGGGCGUUUGGCAGCAGAAUCUCCCUCCUCCGAGUCCUCCUUCUGUGCCCCCUCCCCCAAUCCAUCCAAAGUCCACAGGGUCCGCGUCCCUGGGAGAUCUGGGUGUCUGUCUCCCGCAGUCUAGGAAAGUUGAUUCCGGAGGUUUCCCGGUGAGGGAGGGGGAGGGGAAACCCGAGGCGCCGCGCGGGGGAGGGGGAAAAGGAGUGGGUGGGGAAGCGCCUCGGGUGAGGAGUUGCAGCUCCUGCGUGAAGUUGUGAGAAAACUGUGAUCCGGAGACACCUUUUACAUACGAAAACAAACGACUAGGCGGGAAACCUCGGGGCAAUAGCGGCGACUGGGGGGGGGGUAGCGACGGUGGGAACGGAACGUCCUGGGGGCUCCACAGGGAAGCUGCUGAGGACUGAGGUGUGCAGAGAAUGAGUAGAGCGGCCCGGCCUCCCCGCUCCCCCCUUUCCAGGCUGCGGCUGGCACCAGCUUCCCCAGACAUCAGCCUCAGGGGGUUCAGGCUUUAGGGAGCCUACACCUCCCUAAUUCUCCUCCGAGUAUAAAGUAGGGAUCACUGCCCACCGGGGCAGAGUUUCCCAGAACUGGGGGUAAGGUCCGGGUCCUGAGUGCCUUAGCCGCCAAGAAUCACUAUAGUUCCACGGCCCAUACCAGUCAAACAUCAAAUUCCGUUUCAAGAGUACCGUUUCUAUGCUUAACCCGGAUUUCUCCCGAAGUGAAAUCUGAAGGUGGCAGUCCCGCAUUUGCACUUCGUUUUUGGUUGGGGGGGGGGCGUUAGGAAGGCGCAUCGGCCCUAUAGCCUGGAAGGGAAUAAGGAUGGGCAGCCAGGCAAGUCUAAGUGGGUAGUUGGGGAACGGCCUUUGGACCCCACUCGCGGUGCUGGGUUCAGACAUCCCUCACAGGGCUGGAACUCGGUUGGGGGAAAUGCGCCCUGAAACGCAAUUCGAAUGAACCUGGGCAGGCAAAGAGUCCAGUUCUUUACGUGUAGAAUACCCUCUUCGAACGAACCGGAAAGCCGCUACAGCGAAUUUGGCUUGCGCUCAGUGGCACUGGGAUUCUUGGGCUCUGCCAACACUCCUUUCCUUCCUCCAAGGCUCCACCUGCAUUGCCCUGCAACCCCGAGGCCCACCGGCAGCCCAUAGCCUUGCUGCUCGCGUAACGUUUUCAUUGGAAGCGGUUGCCGAGGCCGGCAGUGCGCCUUUUUGGCGCACCGCGUAUCUUGAUUUCUGCGUGCGAGGCCCCUUUCGCUUUCUUCGCACCCCCUCCACACACACCUGGGCUCUGCGUCCCCACGGGCAGGAGGCCGGCGUUGAGGCUCCUAAAGUCUCUCGCUUUAGCCCCCUCCGCGAGUCUCUGCCAGGACUCGGCUUAGGGCAGAGGUGGGGAUGGGGAGGCGGUUCUCCAACCCAGGAAGCGCGCUUCGCGGGAUCCAACUUUGGCUUUGUGCUCCUCCUGCGGAACUGGCAUUUCCAGGAACCACCCGUACCCUGUACUCCAGGACCCGGGGAGGCGCUAAGAGCUGCGUGGCGCGGGGGUCCUUGCCUCCUCUCCCGUGACCCGGAGGCGCCUCCCCAGCCCGCCGCGCUGGGGGAGGCCCGCGGGAGGGAGUAGUGCUGUGAGCGGUCCUCACGCUGUCUCCCCCCCCCCCCCACCCCCAGCUGUCUUGGUUCUCGCCGCUAGCGCCCUCAACCCCACCGCUCCUUUCUGGAAUCUAUAGCGGACCCCGUCCCGAGUGGCUCGCCCCCGCCCCCGCCCCAGCUGGGCUCCUUCUCAUGCAAAGCAGAGGGACCGCGGGGGUGGGGGGCGGUCGGCGGGGACCUACGGGACGACAGCUGGACCCGGCUGCCGGCCCAUCCGGAACCCAAGGCCCGCCGACUCCUUUCGAGUAGGCUGGAGGAGGCUGCUGCACCCGUUUGGGGGUGCGGGGACCUCGACCGGAGGCAAAGAGCGUCCCUCCCUGCGGGCGGGGGUGGGGGUGGGUGGCGAGGACUAGCGUUGAAAGCGAGUUGAGGGCGGGGGCAGAACUCUGGGGUCCUGGGGUAUCCCGCGUCCAGAUGGCUCAGUAAACAUGUCCUCGGGAACUAACCUCGGCCUGUACCCAGGGGGUCCGGGAGCGCAACGCGAGGCGCGCCUCCUGGCUCCUGAUUCUAGAAAUUUAAGUCCACAUUUAACGCCUCCAAGGCGACCACACACUAGAUUAAUGCUUUUUCUUUUUUCUUUUUCAUUCCCACUGAGCUUUUAUUUUUAAAUGUAAUUGGUCGCAGAGACAUGGAGAGAAACCCGACCCAGCUUUCCAAAUUGACCGUCUCGGAAGUCUCUCGGCUCAGCUCUGCUUUUAAACCCGUCUGCUCGGCGAAGAGCACCAACCUUGCCUUCCCACCCUCCCCGCCACACUCACUGCCUGCGCCCGGAAGUACACAAGCGCUUCCUAUUCAAAGCUCUCCACCUACCCCAGCCCCACAGCCACGCUCACCGCACCGCUGCCAGGUGGUGGAAAUUCUGGGUCGGGUCCCAGGAGGGUCAGUCUUGUCGCUCAGUAUCCCUCAGUGGCCGCAGAAUCCUCUGAACUUAAUCCCAGGCACUUUUGGUACAGGUCCCAGAGGGUUCAGGAAGCGGCUUUUCCAUCACAGGUUUCUCUUAUGAGAAUCGCCUUAAGGAUCAGCCAGAGAGGAGGGACGUGGCUGGGAGCCGGGAAUGGGGCGGGGGGUGGAGGGUAGGGGAUGUUUCUGCCACCCGCCCUGCAGUUACGGGGCUGAGGCACCCUCUCUUGCACCUUCUUUCUUCCAGCCGCCUCUUUGAUUCCGAGCCCCAAUUUGCCUCAUUCCCAGAGGAGUGGGUCGUGAGGCCCAAGGACCGGAGCCUGCCGGCAUGGGUCGGCUGCUGUAGGUCCCAACAAUGGCCACCGUCCCUGGGUGCCUCCUUCCUCUCUUAGGGCACUCUUGUCCAGCCCUCGCCCCCCAGAAACGGGCAGCGAGGCUGCGAAAGGGGGUGCCUGGGGCGCCAUGGGCUCUAGGUGGGUAAUUGCCCUGAGCCUGCCCCAGGAGGGUGCAGCCGGCCACCACCUUCCACAGAGAGGGAGGAAGAAGGGAGCCCGGCACAUCUGGGACCCUGGUGGUCCCGGAGGCCAUGCAAACUCCGCACAGGCUCGGUGAGGACACCGCAUGUGCAACGCUGGAAACUGGCCUCAGUCCCUGGGAACUGAUCUGACCUCUCUCGCUCUCUCCUUGCCCUCUCUCGUUGGCUCCUGCCUCGUGUCGUCUUAAUCUUACCCCAGUACUUUCUCCUGGAAAUGACCCAGUUGCGUUCAGCACUUUACAGUUUUUACCUCUAUCUGUCCAGAACCACAGAGGAACAGAGGGGAUCGGUAUUAUGUCUUUUCUUCCCGGGAAGAAACCCAAGUUAGGAGGUUUGAGAUUCCUCAGGGCAGAGCGCUACCGAAGGUGAGAAGUUGAGGGGGGGGGGUUGUCACCCGGCUCCUUUGUGUACUUUGUCCAGCCAUGUUUCCAAGGCCUGGGGGGAGGGCGCGGAGGUGGGGAGGCAGGGGACCUUGAGGCCCAGAAAGGGCAGCAUCCGGCAGGGCCUUCACGGUGUGCGCUCGGGCUGGGUAAACAACGCUGGGCUUCCCACGAGGGCUGGAGACACCCUGGGCACCGAAGAGGGGAGCGAGGUCGAGCGUGGUGAUCUCAGAUGCAAGCCAGCAACCCUGGCGGAGCAAAGACGGGCCACGGAUAGUCUGGGAAGGGAGAGGGUGAGCUGGAGAAGGAGGGAGAGAGAGAGAGAGAAUGGGGGGGGGGCAGAGGGACAGGGACAGCAAAUAAGGGCAGACACCCAGAGAAAAAAGGGAAGGACUGCAGAAAAGGGAGACCUGAGAGAUCCGGGAAAGGAGGAGACGUCCUGGGGGAAAUGCAAGGAGGAGAAGAAAUGGAAAAGAGAACCAGAAAGACAGCCAUCAGCCAAAAAGGCAGCAGGGAGAGGUUUGGAGCUCAGGACCCUGCGGGUGCUGAGGACACACCCUGGCGUGGACCAUAGACCGGAGGGCGUCCGGUGUGUGACAGCCGGGAUCACAGGCAGGAGAAAAGGGGCGGCGUGUUUGGUGGGAGACAGCGCCCGUGGAAAAGCGUGUGAGCCGCUCUGGGCAGGAAUCCAACAAAUAAAUAAAACGUCUAAGACGGCGUGACAACAAUGUGUAUUUGGGUGCGUGCCCGUGUUCCUCUGUCUGAACACACUCACACCCGGUAAGGAAGACAAACGGGGCUCGUGCCUCCUAGUAAUUAAUCCUCUCACUAAUUGACUCUCUCCCCUUACUUAAUGGUGGUGGUCACUGCUGAUAUCUGGAGAGAUAGCAGGUGGGGAGGCGGGGGGACCCCAAAGCGAACCAUCUUUGGGACUGGGAUCAAGGUCUUUCUGGAGUUGGCAGCUCUAACCCCCUCCCCCUUGGUAGCAGAGUUCAAGAGAUGCUGCUGCCUCACCAGCCACUCUGUGUUUGCAUUAAUAAAGCUCUCCUUAGAUUAGGGGUGGCCAGGAGUCACACACACACACACACACACACACACACACACACACACACACACACGCCCUUCAUCAAUCUCAGAGGCUGAAAGCCACCCACUGCCCCUCUGCUAGACAUUGCCUACCUCCAGGCAGCACCAAAGCCUCCGCUCCCAUGUUGAUCCCCCAGGAGCCCAGACCUUGCACCCCCUUCUUUUAGUCCUGGACCUGGGAUGUGGUCCUGCAGCCCCUAAAUGAGAUUUUGAAUGAGUUAGGAAGCAGCCAGAGGGUGAGGUCAGGGCAAGGGUGGGAAAAAGCUUCUGGAGACAAACCCACUUGGCCCCGGGGAGGGGGGAGGGACCCAGAAGCACAGAGGGGCACAGUACAUACCUGGGACAGAAGAGAAAAAGGUGGGCACCGUGCACGGUGGGACAGAGUGCAGGGUAUGUGGAAGGGCAGGAAGGUGACCACGCCUGUGACUGUGGGGACGAGAGUUGUGUCUCUGUGUGAGCACGCGGAGGGGCUCUCUUGUUUCUCCUUUAGCACCCUCAGUUCUCAGGACUGGGGAGAGAGAGUUGCAGUGGGAUCAAACCUCUGGUAGCCAGGUUGGCCAGAGGGGGCCCACAGUCUGUCUGGUGAUGCAACUUUUAGGCUUGAGUUUGAGAGGAAGAUGUCAACUCUCACCCCUUUGAGGUGGUAGCUUUGCUCAGUUGGCUCCUCAGAGGCUAAAUAAAUAAUUGCUGAGAUCCAUAAACCACCCCACCUAGGGAGAAGGCAGCGGGGGUGGGGUGGGGUAGGGAGGAGGGUGACUCCUC